rnacentral:rRNA from 1 species
GACGAACGCUGGCGGCGUGCUUAACACAUGCAAGUCGAACGGUAAGGCCCUUCGGGGUACACGAGUGGCGAACGGGUGAGUAACACGUGGGUGAUCUGCCCUGCACUUCGGGAUAAGCCUGGGAAACUGGUCUAAUACCGGAUAGGACCACUGCCUGCAUGGGUGGUGGUGGAAAGCUUUUGCGGUGUGGGAUGGGCCCGCGGCCUAUCAGCUUGUUGGUGGGGUGAUGGCCUACCAAGGCGACGACGGGUAGCCGGCCUGAGAGGGUGACCGGCCAAACUGGGACUGGGAUACGGCCCAGACUCCUACGGGAGGCAGCAGUGGGGAAUAUUGCACAAUGGGCGCAAGCCUGAUGCAGCGGCGCCGCGUGAGGGAUGACGGCCUUCGGGUUGUAAACCUCUUUCAGCACCGACGAAGCGCAAGUGACGGUAGGUGCAGAAGAAGGACCGGCCAACUACGUGCCAGCCGCCGCAGUAA